CUUAGUUCGUGGAGUGAUCUGUCUGCUUAAUUGCGUUUCAAAAUUUAACUUGAGGACCGGGUUUUGGUUUGGCUAGUGGUUCUACGAUGACUGUGAACUGUCAUGUCUUCGGAUGUGCGACUAUUGGUCUAGGAUCACAUGACUUGCCCCUGGGACUCUUUUGAACGCAACGGACGUGAUUGCAACCCCUUGUUGAGAUUAGAGAUAGUCUCGAUAUUCACUGGACAAACUGGCUGCUUUAUGCAGUCUUGUUGAAUGGUGGAUAAACUCGGGGGACUGCUGACUAUAACCAUUUCUCAAAACAGAGGAAGGUUGCGGCAAUAACAGGUCUGUGAUGCCCUCAGAUGUCCCGGGCUGCACACGUGCUACAAUGAGUGGCGCAAUGUGCUAAUGUUUAAGGGAUAAGAGUGUGGUCAGUAGAACGUCGGGAUUUCCCCUGACGUCUCCCCCGCACGAUUAUCAGCCUUCCCUUAACAGGGCGGGCAACCUUUUCAAAAUACUGGUUUGAUGUUAAAGUAUUGAGUCGUUUUUUUUGGAUGGUGGUUUGUUAACCAAUACCAUCCGGC
rnacentral:rRNA from 1 species